GCCGCUGACGAGGAGGACAGGGGAGGAGGGGUGGGGUCGUGACCGACGGACGGUGCUUUACCGGUGACCUGAUGACCGCUAACCGUUGUUUGGCCAAUUCUGGGAUUGCGAGUCUCAUCCAGUCGAGCUGAUGCGAUCGAAGCUGAAGAGGUCGGACUGAGACAGACAGCGAAGGGACCGGAGUCAGGACGACAUCCAGCUGAGGACAGCACCGGAGUACAUCUAGACAAGGACCAGCCUUCUUCCUUCGCCAUGAGCGGCGCUGAGGGAGGGGAGCCCGGCCCGGAGACGAGUUCCGGUCAGAGCGCAUGGGAGGUGGCAUCGACAUGCCGCCGGUGCUGCUGCGGCGCAGCCGGCAGAGGGGGUCAGUGCUGCUGCAGCUGUCUCCGCUGCUGCUACGGAGGAUCCUGCCAGGUCAUCAGCCUCAUCGCCCUGUUUUGUCGCCGGUGUAACUGCUGCAAGAAGUAGUAAGGGGUAGCAAGUUGGAAGUCUGCGUUACGACAAGGUGUGGGAUGCCAGCUAGCUCACGAACUAGCUCACGAAAGCUCACGACUCAUGGCUGCGAUGAUGCGGUCGUGUUCCACAAACUAGCUGAGAUCUAGCAUAGAGGUUGCUGAAGCAUCGCCUGGAUGCGGAACGAUUGCUUCGCAUUGCAUGCGUGCCCUAGAUUAUUUGUGAUCAUUACUUUUGCAUAGGAUAAGCAAAGUGAUCAGCAGGGAUGUGCUUUACAAACGAAUCCCCAUGCCGGUGUUGUGCAAGCCAUCUAAAUGAAAAUGCUCACAUAGGUUGCUCACACGUAACACUGGUUCUGCUGUCGCAUGUCGACAUAUAGCACCGGUGAAGGAAAAGGGCAAGCUCUAGCAGGCUCUGUCUGUUGCCUCACAUGCCAUUGUGAAAUCUGGACGUUCCUAAAUUAA